UACGGGGGGGGCAAGCGUUGUUCGGAAUCACUGGGCAUAAAGAGCACGUAGGCUGCGCGCUAAGUCAGGUGUGAAAUCCCCCGGCUCAACCGGGGAACUGCACCUGAUACUGGCGUGCUCGAGGACGGUAGGGGUGAGUGGAACUCCAGGUGUAGCGGUGAAAUGCGCAGAUAUCAGGAAGAACACCGAUGGCGAAGGCAGCUCUCUGGGGACGGUACUGACGCUGAGACGCGAAAGCGUGGGGAGCGAACAGG
rnacentral:rRNA from 1 species